UGCGUAGGCGGGCAUGUAAGUCCGUGGUGAAAUCUCCGAGCUUAACUCGGAAACUGCCAUGGAUACUAUGUGUCUUGAAUGUUGUGGAGGUGAGCGGAAUAUGUCAUGUAGCGGUGAAAUGCUUAGAUAUGACAUAGAACACCAAUUGCGAAGGCAGCUCACUACACAAAUAUUGACGCUGAGGCACGAAAGCUGGGGAUCAAACA
rnacentral:rRNA from 1 species